AGGAGGAGGGUGAGGAGGAGGCCGAGGAGGGUGGAGGGGAGGUUGAUCCCGCGUUGUGGGGUGACUUGCCACCGGGUUCUUCGCAGGGGUGGCUGCGUGGUAAUGCCGGACUACCUACACCACCUUCUAUCGAGGAGCACAAGUGGCUCAUUGAACCUGUGGGGACAGAAAACUGGAUCCUUCACGGAAAGGGCCGUAAACCGAACGGCCUUAUCACUGUCCUGUUGAAGGAGUUUUGGCCUGGCCUAUUUUGCCCGCGGCCAGACAGGGACCCGCAGCAGCGGGUUUUGGCCACGAGCUGGGCCCACUACGAGGCUUGCAGCAACGCGGAGUACGGGACGACCGCUAAGGCCGUGAUCACCAAAUUUUGGCAACUCUAUAGAGUUCUUGACGAGCACAAGGCCAGAGCCGACGUGGUCUUGCUUGCGGCUGCGAAGAAGAAAGCUCGUCAGUUGCAGUACGAGGUGCGCUGGGUUGCC